AGGGAAUCUUCCACAAUGGACGCAAGUCUGAUGGAGCAACGCCGCGUGAGUGAAGAAGGUCUUCGGAUCGUAAAACUCUGUUGUUAGAGGAGAACACGAGUGAGAGUAACUGUUCAUUCGGUGACGGUAUCUAACCAGCAAGUCACGGCUAACUACGUGCCAGCAGCCGCGGUAAUACGUAGGUGGCAAGCGUUGUCCGGAUUUAUUGGGCGUAAAGGGAACGCAGGCGGUCUUUUAAGUCUGAUGUGAAAGCCUUCGGCUUAACCGGAGUAGUGCAUUGGAAACUGGAAGACUUGAGUGCAGAAGAGGAGAGUGGAACUCCAUGUGUAGCGGUGAAAUGCGUAGAUAUAUGGAAGAACACCAGUGGCGAAAGCGGCUCUCUGGUCUGUAACUGACGCUGAGGUUCGAAAGCGUGGGUAGCAAAC
rnacentral:rRNA from 1 species